rnacentral:misc_RNA from 1 species
AUCCGCCAUUUUUAUCAUUUCUUCAAAGCUCUCUUCUGAAAAUCCGCCAUUAAAGCUCACCAUAAAAAGCAUGAAAUUAUCAUCUUAAAAACACCCAUUUCACAAAUUUCAAUCUUUUCUUCAUCUUCUCCGGUUUGUGAUUCUCAAAAAAUGGUUUCACUUGAAGAUUCUCAUUCUCAUAACAGUGUUUCUUCUAGUGCCCAUUUUGGCCAAACACGGCCUUAUUACUACACCCCACCGCCGCCGUCUUCCAUUAAAAUCAACCGUGCAAUGGGUCGUUCUAUGAGAACUAUCCGGUCAACUAUUUUCCGUACUGAUUGCUCUGGUUCUGAACAUUCCGGCGCUAUUUCUGAAAACAUGACAGAUUCUGUUAUCGAUAUUCGUCUUGGUGAGCUUGCGAAGAAACCUCCGGUGAAUAACAAAGGUUCUUCUUCCGAUGAAGAUUAUCUACAACUUUCUCAAGCUUUCAGUGAUUUUUCAGCUUGUAGUAGUGAUAUCUCCGGCGAGUUACAACGAUUAGCAAGUGUUCCUGUUUCGGAUCUGGUAUUAACCCAGAACCCAAAUUCUAAACCCGAACCUGAACCCGAACCCUGUUUAGGGUUUCUAGAAAGGGAAAAAUUUUCGACGGAGAUAAUCGAGAGUAUCUCCCCGGAGGAUCUUCAACCGACGGUGAAGCUUUGUGUUGACAGCUUACAUUCUCCAUCUGUUGCAGUGAAAAGAUCAGCGGCAGCUAAAUUAAGACUAUUAGCAAAGAAUCGAGCUGAUAAUCGAGCGUUAAUCGGAGAAUCCGGUGCAAUUCCGGUGCUUAUACCUCUUCUCCGGAGGAAGUGAUUAAAACCUUAUUCGGUUCGUGAAGUGAGAGAUUUAACAGGGCUGUAA